UACGUAGGGUGCGAGCGUUGUCCGGAAUUAUUGGGCGUAAAGAGCUCGUAGGCGGUUUGUUGCGUCGGCUGUGAAAUCCCGAGGCUCAACCUCGGGUCUGCAGUCGAUACGAGCAAACUAGAGUGUUGCAGGGGGAGACUGGAAUUCCUGGUGUAGCGGUGAAAUGCGCAGAUAUCAGGAGGAACACCGGUGGCGAAGGCGGGUCUCUGGGCAACAACUGACGCUGAGGAGCGAAAGCGUGGGGAGCGAACAGG
rnacentral:rRNA from 1 species